rnacentral:lncRNA from 1 species
AUAAAAGAUCUGUAGCAGGUCCGGAGACGUAGGCAACAUUGGCCGAACUCCGUUAACAAUUUUGCGUGUGUUUUCCCGCUCCCAUAAAUUCUGGUUUUCCGCAAAAUUUGACCGCAUAUUUCCUAACACACCUAUCAUCAGAUGCACUCAGGCAAACUGAUCUAAAUUAUCAUAAAAAUAAUAUCAAUCAGUUAUGUAUUAGAGAAAAAAAUACGUACUUGUCUCCUGUGUCUACC